rnacentral:rRNA from 1 species
CAGCCGCCGCGGUAAUACGAGGGGGGCAAGCGUUGUUUGGAAUUAUUGGGCGUAAGGGGCGCGUAGGCGGUUUGGCAAGUUUGGUGUGAAAUCUUCGGGCUCAACUCGAAGUCUGCAUCGAAAACUGCCGGGCUUGAGUAUGGGAGAGGUGAGUGGAAUUUCCGGUGUAGCGGUGAAAUGCGUAGAUAUCGGAAGGAACACCUGUGGCGAAAGCGGCUCACUGGACCAUAACUGACGCUGAUGCACGAAAGCUAGGGGAGCAAACAGGAUUAGAUACCCCCGUAGUCCCUGUCUCUUAUAC